GACAGAGGUGGCAAGCGUUGUUCGGAUUUAUUGGGCGUAAAGAGCGCGUAGGCGGUCUUUUAAGUCGGGGGUGAAAUCCCGGGGCUUAACCCCGGAAUUGCCCUCGAUACUGGAAGACUUGAGUGCGGGAGAGGAUAGUGGAAUUCCCAGUGUAGAGGUGAAAUUCGUAGAUAUUGGGAAGAACACCAGUGGCGAAGGCAGCUAUCUGGACCGCAACUGACGCUGAGGCGCGAAAGCGUGGGGAGCAAACAGG
rnacentral:rRNA from 1 species